GGAGGGACCAAACGCGAAAAUUAACCAUUUAAAGAAAUUGUGCGCAUAAACCAAGUCAAAAAGCUGUUUGUUCCUUCCCCCAAUGCUAUUUCCUUUUAUUACUUUAAUUUAAAACCUGUUUCAACAAUUUUGCUUUAAAGAAACAUUUCUAUUCUUGUUUGUUUUUUAAAACCUAAAGCUUUUGAGAUACUCUCUCAACUCACACCUCCUCUUCUCCCUUUUCGCCGAAUGCCGCCUCCGUUAAAGAUCCCACACGCUACAGUCACUGUUGACACGAGCACGACUCCGGUUGUGGAGUCGUGGAGGAGUGCAUGAUCGUGGGGCGUGGACGCACGAGCCAGGGGGUCGUGCUUGGUGUGCAGACGCACGUGGUGGAGGGGAGCAGUGGCUGUUUCCUUUUUUGCUGAAAAGUUAGUUUAGUUUUGGGUUGUUAGGGCUCUAGGGUUAGGUUUAUUUUGGGCUUAUAAUUAGGUUUGUUGUUUUUGUAAUUUUUGGACUUUUUUUGGAUUUUUAUGUGGAUUAUUUGGGUUUUAUUUAUUUAUUGGGCUGGAAUUAGGUAGCUCAGGUUAAAAUUGGGUCUUACAA